CGGGGUGUAGCGUAGCCCGGUAUCGCGUCUGCUUUGGGAGCAAAAGGCCGUCAACGGUCCGCCGCCGCGGUUCGAAUCUGGCCACCCCGA
rnacentral:tRNA from 1 species